rnacentral:misc_RNA from 1 species
AACGCACCUUGCGCUCCUUGGUAUUCCGAGGAGCAUGCCUGUUUGAGUGUCAUGGAAUUCUCAACUCUAUUUGCUUUUGUGAAUAGAGCUUGGAUUUGGAGGUUUAUUGCUGGUACUUGUGAUCGGCUCCUCUUGAAUGCAUUAGCUCGAACCUUUGCGGAUCAGCUAUCGGUGUGAUAAUUGUCUACGCCGUUGCAGUGAAGCAUAUCAAUGGGCUCGGCUUCCAAUCGUCCUUUACUGGACAAUGACUUUGACCUUUGACCUCAAAUCAGGUAGGAUUACCCGCUGAACUUAA